rnacentral:rRNA from 1 species
AGGACGAACGCUGGCGGCGUGCUUAACACAUGCAAGUCGAGCGGAAAGGCCUUUCGGGGUACUCGAGCGGCGAACGGGUGAGUAACACGUGAGUAAUCUGCCCAUCGCUUCAGGAUAGCCAUCGGAAACGGUGAUUAAUACUGGAUAUGACAUUCCUUCGCAUGUUGGGGUGUGGAAAGUUUUUUCGGCGGUGGAUGUGCUCGCGGCCUAUCAGCUUGUUGGUGGGGUAAUGGCCUACCAAGGCUUUGACGGGUAGCCGGCCUGAGAGGGUGACCGGCCACGACUGGGACUGAGACACGGCCCAGACUCCUACGGGAGGCAGCAGUGGGAAUAUUGGACAAUGGGCGGAAGCCUGAUCCAGCAACGCCGCGUGAGGAUGACGGCCUUCGGGUUGUAACCUCUUUCAGCACAGACGAAGUUUUUAGUCGUUUUUGGUGGUAAGUGUACGGUAUUGUGCGUAAGAAGAAGGACCGGACAACGUACGUAGCCAAGCAGCCGAC